rnacentral:rRNA from 1 species
UAGGGAAUAUUGGGCAAUGGGCGAGAGCCUGACCCAGCCAUGCCGCGUGCAGGAAGAAGGCGCUACGCGUUGUAAACUGCUUUUACCGGGGAAGAAACCCAGGGCUGCGGCCCUGCUUGACGGUACCCGGGGAAUAAGCACCGGCUAACUCCGUGCCAGCAGCCGCGGUAAUACGGAGGGUGCAAGCGUUGUCCGGAUUUAUUGGGUUUAAAGGGUGCGUAGGCGGCUUUUUAAGUCAGAGGUGAAAGACUGCAGCUCAACUGUGGCAGUGCCUUUGAUACUGAAGAGCUUGAGUACAUUUGAGGUAGGCGGAAUGCAGGGUGUAGCGGUGAAAUGCAUAGAUACCCUGCAGAACCCCGAUUGCGAAGGCAGCUUACUAAACUGUUACUGACGCUGAGGCACGAAAGCGUGGGGAUCAAACAG